rnacentral:miRNA from 1 species
GGGCGCUGGGCGCCGCCGCCUUUUAGGACGGGGAGCGGCUGCAGGACCCCGGCGUCCCGCCC